UGUCCUGACUCUCCACUUUUAGCCGGCACAAGGAGUUGGUGGUCUAAGCUUUUAAUACUGACUCUAAAUAUUUUCUGGAUUUUUUCCCCUUUAUUUUUGCACUUUUUUGAGUUCAUGGCACAGACGGAUUUCUAAGACCCGAGGUCCCACUGUGGUCCACCUCUGUCCUGCAGCUGCUGCCUGACAUUUUAAGACUUGUUGUGACAUUUGUCUAGAAUUUAAGCAUCAUUUUAGGAUUAUUAUUAUUAUAGCUCCGUGUUUUUUUCUUCAGGGGCAAUGACAAGGAGACGUGUGAGGGGAGUGAAAUUGUACACCUGCUAGGCGUUGGCCCGACUACCAACACAGACAAUGUAAGCAAGCACAGGGCUAUAUGAGGUCUUAGUGGAUUUUACUCUAUAUGACUCAGAUGUUUUGUCAAAUUUGUGGGACAAAUAUUGGAGAGGUAAAUGCAGGCUUUUCUAAAUGUUUACACAGAAAAAAUUACUUGUGUUUUUUCAUGCUUCAUGUAUAUUAAAAAUAUGAAUUCA